GGAUGGGAUGAUGACAACACUAAAAAACUGAAUUCCAUCACAACUCCAAAGUUAAGCAUCCUUGGGUGACAUAAUUACUAGGAUAGGGGACCCUGGGAAGUCCUUUUGUUACGUAUA
rnacentral:rRNA from 1 species